AGAGUCGGCCAGACAAUCGCGCUCACUUCGGUGAGGGAGGAAAGUCCGGGCUCCAAAGGGCAGGGUGCCAGGUAACCCCUGGGGGGCGCGAGCCUACGGAAAGUGCAACAGAAAAAAUACCGCCCCACAGGUUGGGGUAAGGGUGAAAUGGUGCGGUAAGAGCGCACCGCGCAGGUGGUAACACGCUGUGGCAAGGUAAACCCCACUCGGAGCAAGACCAAAUAGGAAGACCAUGCCGCGGCCCGCGGUGUCUUCGGGUAGGUCGCUUGAGGUCGCUGGUGACAGCGGUCCCAGAUGAAUGAUUGUCCACGACAGAACCCGGCUUAUCGGCCGGCUCUGGCU
rnacentral:RNase_P_RNA from 1 species